CACGCUCAAGGGAAACGGUACAAGUUUGAAAAAGGUUUAUUUAAGGAGAAUGGAUCGGUAUGGUGUGCAGGAACAACUGAGGGAGUAGGCCAUCCGCCAGAAGGAGAGGGAUUCAAACUGGAGAAGGAGUGAAUAUGGAGUCAAUGGGAAAAGCUGCCCUGGAACAUGUAAGCAACCAGCUUCUUCAAAUGGUCAGCUGGAGAGGACAAACUGGAAAAAAAGAAGAAAACACAGACUCACAGAUAUUUGUUUCCAAGGGCAGGAGUGGAUAACAGACAAAGGCUGACUUUAAUAAACGGGAGUCCGUAGAACAUCCUUCACAGCAAGGUUUCAUCGGCUGUUGACGUAGUAGAGUUUCUGGCCGACCUGAUGGCCAAGGUGAAGUCUGGAGUCUGCCAAGAGGUGAGCCACGCCAGGAGAGAAUCUAUGCUUGUCUGUCUGCUGCUUUUGGGAUAAAUGUGUAGUUCGAUGACUUCUUUCAAACCUUUCAGCA